GUCAGCGGGAAUCACAGAAACAUUGCAGUUGAAGUCCAUUUUAAAAGUGUAUAAAACAUACAUUUUAAACAAACAGCCAAACAGCUGCCUAACAUUAGUGAAUGAAAUGUUCAACCCAUGAAGAGGACACAACUGUAAAGCUUUGGGGGUGUUCAUGUUCAUUUUUUAAUGAAACUUACUCACGUUCAAGAGUUGAUAAAUUCAUGAAGCUAUUUUUUGCAGAGGCUCUGCUCUUUCUUUUGAUAUACUGCAUGGUCAGAUAUUCAUGCAACAGAAUAUUCUAGGGGGCCAUGAAAUUUUUGUGAAAAUGAUCAAAAAUGCUGGUGCUGGCUGCCAACUUAAAAAAAAAACAAAAAAAAAAAAAACGAGAUGGAUAAGCUCUGAUGUCCAAAGUUAAGUUCAGAAACAGAAAAAGCAUGAUCACCUAUAAGUGCCGUCGUGGUAUCGUACGUGCCGGCGGUAUAGUCUACAGCUGCUUAUUUGACGCUUAUUUGUUUGUCUGUGAUAUGUCUGUUUGUUUGUGUUGCACAUCAUUUGUGAGCUCUGUAAACUGACAGGAGUUGCACGUGACGCUCAAACACCCGAAAAUCUGUGCUGAACACAAUAUGUGUGCUGCAAUUCUUUAUUUUACAGGUUCAUGAAACCUACAUGAAAAUAAAGCUGUAUGCAAUAACAACUGUGCAGAAAAUUCACAUUGAUCCAAUAGACAUUGGGACAAGGUAAACAUAUAUACAGUGUGUUUGUUUGAAACACGAGAGACAGGCGAGUGUGACAGAAGGGAGGAGAGACACGGUUGAUCAUGCAAUGCACAUUUAAAUGGGUCGUCCUCCAUAAAACCAUAUAAAACUCACACUCUCCAUCCCUAAAAGAAAGACAGACGCCUUUAAUCAACCAUGAAGAAGCUCUUCAAGUGCCUGUGGAUCUUACUGGGUAAAGUACAACAUACAUCUGCUAUUUUACUAGAUUCACACUAAUAUUAGCUGAGGUUUCUGCAAUCUUCCCCUUUGUUUGGAAAUGUUGCUGUUUCUAGUUUAGUUUACACUCAUCUCUCUCUACUGUGGGUUUAUAACAUAUUGUAAUGUGUGAAUUUCUUGCCAAACAAAUAUGCUGUUUCAUACAUUCAUGCUUAUCUAUAAUAAAGUCGUUUUUUUUUUAACCACACUUUUUUUUUUUUUAUCAUGGUUUGCAUUAUGUACUUGUGAUGUAUGUAUGUUUUAUAAUACAAAAGCAAAUAAUAUUGUGAAAUAUUAUUACAAUUAAAAAUAGCUGUUUUCUAUGUGAAUAUUCAACUGUAAUUUAUUCCUGUGAUCAAAGCUGAAUUUUCAGCAUCAUUACUCCAGUCUUCAGUGUCACAUGAUCCUUCAGAAAUCAUUCUAAUAUGAUGAUUUGCUGCUCAAGAAACAUUUAUGAUUAUUAUCAAUGUUGAAAACAGCUGUGCAGCUUCAUAUUGUUGUGUAAAAUGUGAUACAUUUUUUAAAGGUUCUUUUAUGAAUAGAAAGUUCAAAAGAACAGCAUUUAUUUGAAAUAGAAUCUUUUGUAACAUUAUAGCCCGAGUGACUUUUCAGUUUUUUUUUUUUUUUUUUUUAGCUCUACUUUACCAAACAAAUCUUAUGUUAAAUAGAUGCUCAUUUGUAUAUGUAAAUGGUUUGAAUGGUAGUCUGUGUUUGUCAAGAAUGUCUGGUAGUGAUUCCUCAUCCCACUUUAGAUUACAAUAUUCUGUUGGUUGCAGAUUGUUAUUAGUUUAUCAGUUUCCUCCAACAUGCUCAUUAUACAGAUCGAUGUUUUAUGUUUCCAUUAUCAUUCAGAUGAUAUUUUGUUAGUGACAAUAUCAAAGUAAAUUAAAUAAAAAAUGCAAAUCUGAAUGUGAUUCAACAAAACCUGGUUCUCUGAUACUCUCUUGAAUCCUGAUUCCACAGGGUUUUUAUUGAUUGAGGAAAUGGCAAAUGGACAAGAAGAGAACGCAGCACUUUGGGGCAAAACUAGUCAGUCGUCAAAUUAUGGAAACUGGGUACCUACAGAUGCUAUUGAUGGUUUGCUCACCACCUGGGCCCACACUAACACAGAGACUGACCCGUGGUGGAGAGUGGAUCUACUGAAGGUAUACAGAGUGAACAGAGUGACCAUCACUAACAGACCGAGCCAUGAAUCGAGGAUAAAUGGGGCAGUGAUUCGCAUCGGGAACUUCCUUGACAUCUACAACAACCCCAUAUGUGGUGUAAUUUCUACUCUUGCAGCCAGUGCCACGGCCACUUUCUCAUGCGGCGGGAUGGAGGGACGUUACAUGGUUGUUCAUAUUCCUGGAGAUGAGAAGAUUCUUACUCUUUGUGAAGUUGGAGUCUACGGGUA